CCUGCAGGCCUAGGCAUCUUGGGCAGGUGGCUGAAAAGUGGAGCCAGUGUCCCCGGGAUAGGGAAGUCCCUCCCCUUGAACGGACCUAGGCUCUUUAUAUCUUCUCCUGUAGUGCUGGGCCAAUAACUGACUGCUUUAUGGAAAAAAAAAUACAGAAAACAAACAAACAAACAAAAAACCCACCUUGCGUUCAUGCCCCAAGACUGAGCAGACUCUGUGAUACGGCUCCCACCAGCCCCCACAUGUUUCUCGUGAGUGCACUCCGUUAAGAAAUGUCUUGCACAAACAUCCCCUUCUCAGGUUCUGCUCCAGGGAACAGUACCCAGGACACUACCAGCAUCUCUCCCUCCACGACACACACCUGUCAUCCCACACAUCAAAAGGCAUCCCAUGUAAUAGGAUACAAGCACGACUGCGAACACACUCACUGCCCCCCGCCCCCACAAUGAGGAGACAGAGGAAAAGUCCAUCACUCAUCUCGAGAGACUUUUUGGAGCCACUGUUCUUGGAGCCCGUUACCUCUGGUGGUUUGACAGCAAGUGAUAGAAAUCCUCACAACCUGCUAGAAAUCCUCAAAAUCUACAGAAGAGUGAAAGAGAAUUUUUACAGUAGG